CUACACGAUGCGGAUGCCUAUUACUUUGUGAUACACUUUCGAAGAGUCGAGUUGUUUGGGAAUGCAGCUCAAAUUGGGUGGUAAAUUCCAUCUAAAGCUAAAUAUUGGCGAGAGACCGAUAGCGAACAAGUACCGUGAGGGAAAGAUGAAAAGCACUUUGGAAAGAGAGUUAACAGUACGUGAAAUUGUUGGAAGGGAAACACAUGCAGCCAGACUUGCUAUUCGGGGCAACUCGAUUGGCAGGCCCGCAUCAGUUUUUCGGGGCGGAAAAGCAUAGAGAGAAGGUAGCAAUUUCGGUUGUGUUAUAGCUCUUUAUUGGAUUCGCCCUGGGGGACUGAGGAACGCAGCGUGCUUUUAGCAUAAGCUUCGGCUUAUCCACGCUUAGGAUGCGGGUGUAAUGGCUGUAUAUGACCCGUCUUGAACCCACGG
rnacentral:rRNA from 1 species